UGGCCAUAUUUGCCCUUUCUAAGAAAUUAUUCAGACCAAAUUUUGUCCUUUUCAAACAUGCUGUCUCGGUCGAAGAGGACGACAUUCCCCGAAUAGAGGAGGACCCGUCUUCGGUUAAGGGUAUACGAGUAGCUGCACUCCCCUGCUAGAACCUCCAAACAAGCUCUCAAACAUGCUGUCUUAACCUUUACAUUGCAUUUGCUGUGUGUUUAGGCAUCUUAACCCAUGCGUGGUUUGCCUGCUCUGCUCAUCUCC
rnacentral:snRNA from 1 species